GUAGCCCAGUUGACCUUGAGUGUGGGAGGUUGUGUGUUUAAUACUCAGUCUUGUCAAACCAAAGAUUUAAAUAUUGGUAGUUUCUACUUCAUGCUAAGCACCUGGUAUUGAGGAGUUAGAUAAAAGAUUGUUCAACUUGAGUCAGGAUCAUUUAUACUGGUAAGGAUAUACAAUGUAUAUGUCUUCCUGCAGCUUGGAAUCUUGUGCAGGGGUUCAAAUUAGCGGCGGUCCAAGGUCUGCUACCUUCCACUUUCGCAAUCAGACUUUCAUUUUGGUUACUAGCUACAUCUGU
rnacentral:lncRNA from 1 species